CCAACCGGGAUUCCCUGAGUAAGGGCGACUGAAAGGGGAUGAGCCCAGCGCAUAACCUCGCGGUCGUGUUGUGGCCGUCGAGGGGUGUUGCGUUUCGGUGGAUCCGUACCGCUCGAUUUGCUGACCGCCUAAGUCAUUGCUUGAAUGCAGCCCCUUGGAGGGUGGUAGGCCCGUGUGGCGGCGCCUGUAAAAAGGUCCGAAGCAAGUUGAGCGGAGGGGUCUUUACCGUAGAGUCGGGUUGCUUAGUACUGCAGCCCUAAGUAGGUGGUAAACUCCAUCUAAGGCUAAAUACUACCACGAGUCCGAUAUUUGACAAGUACCGUGAGGGAAAGCUGAAAAGGACUCUGAAGAGAGAGUUCAAGAGGACGUGAAACCAUUAGAAGCUGAAACGGGUGGAACCGUGAAGGUGGAAAGAGGGGAUUCAGGCGGUGGGACUUGGCGUGUUGGCCUGUUUGCGUCUGUGAGAGGACCCGGCUUACCAGUGAGUUGCCGUGGCAGCAGGCCUUCACUGCUCUGUCUGGCGGUCUUAGUUCUCCCUCGAGUAGCAGUCGUGGCGACCCGCUGGUCGGACCCCUAGGGCCUCUUGGGACUGGUAGCCUGCAGCUUUGCUGUGGGUGAUGACCCUCGGGUGUUCUGGUCGGGUUUGGCCGGCGGUCACUGCAAGGAGGCGGGCGCUUCCUGCGUCCGCCUCUCGCCACGUGAGAGGGAUCGG
rnacentral:rRNA from 1 species